AUACUUACCUGGCAGGGGAUGUCAUGAUCACAAAGGUGGUUUUCUCAGGAUGAGGCUUAUCCAUUGCACUCUGGAUGUGAUGACCUCUGCGAUUUCCCCAAAUGAUGCAAACUCGAAUAAAUAAUUUGUGGUAGUGGGGAACACGUUUGCACUCUCCUCU